ACACUACUAGAAACAUGAGUUUUAGAGACGGAAGUAUCCGUCGCUAUUCCGUCGCUAAAUGUUGUUUGCGAUGGAUCAGCGACGGACUCACUCCAUAGGGUUCUCACCAGUUCUAAAGCCUAAUAAGAAUUCAAGAGAAGCAUACAGGAGUGUAAGGGUAAAAUGGUCAUUAGCGCACCAUGAUCUCAGUAGUAGCUCAGCAGACUCAGGAACAUAAGAAAAGAGUUUGGACAAAAGUUGGUCAUGGGCGAAGUUCCAGUAAUGCAAAUAAGAAGACUCAGCAUCAGAUAAAAGCUUCCAUGGAGAAUAUGGUAACGGAAGUCCAAACUUUGGUUCUCCCCAAUCUUAUACACAAUCAAGGCCACCAAAAGAUUCUGUGUGUCCCAUAACUAGCCAUAUCUUUAGUGAUCCAGUAACCCUAGCAACUGGUCAAACGUAUGAAAGAAAGGCCAUUGAAGAAUGGAUAAAGAGGGGGAACACAACAUGGCUCAUCACAAGACAACCUCUCUCAUCCUAU